AGGUCACAUAUGUUCUGGAAUUCUACAAACUAUAUACUAUACACAUAUACUGCUGCUCUGCUCUCUCUCUACCUCUCUCUGUCUGUCAAAAUGUUUCAUAGUUAAGAACCUUGCCAGCGUACCAACAGAAGAUAUGAUAGAACCUUACUUGUGUACUCUGCGCAUUUACUGCUGUAAAAGCCCUUCCUGAAUUCAGAAAGGCCUGAAUGCAAAACAAUGACUAGUAAGCUAAGGAGAAAAACUAAAACAAAAGGUAAUCUUCAGGAUUAUAAAACAUGCUUCCAG